AGCUGGGUAGCUAAGUCGGGAAUGGAUAAACGCUGAAAGCAUCUAAGCGUGAAGCCAACCUCAAGAUGAGAUUUCCCAUAGCGUAAGCUAGUAAGAUCCCUUGAAGAACACAAGGUUGAUAGGUCGGGGGUGUAAGCAUGGUAACAUGUUCAGCUGACCGAUACUAAUAGAUCGAGGGCUUGACCAA
rnacentral:rRNA from 1 species